UUCCAUUUGCUCCUCUCAGCACUCAUUUUCUCGGUUUGCUUUGCGUCUAUUGUUCGCUCGAAUUUUCUUAGGAUUUUCAUUUCUUUCUCUCUGAUACCUGAUUUUCUCAGUUUGUUUCCGUUGAUCUUUUGUUUCUUCAGCGCAUUCCAUUUCUUUUUCGUCAUUUUCGAUGUGGAUUUGAAGAGGAUUUGUGAAGUGGCUUUUAUUUGAUGAGACCAUGUUCAGUUUUUCGGUUUGAUUUGAAGGAAUUUCUUGCGCAGAAGAGCUAGGGUUUCUUAGUGGUCUGCUGCUUUAGACUCAUUGGUUCAACCUCUGCUGGAUAACCAAAACCUGGUGUACAAACAAGACUCGAGACUUGAUUAAGUAGGUGCUUUAAUUAGAUGAAUUUAUUAAUUAAGCACAUAUUGUUUUCGUAUGCUGGAUGUGUAGUUUGUGUAAGAAGAGGUUGCAGUUGCCCUGGAAGCGAAUCAAUAAAAGAGUGCAAGACUUGAGAAAAAAAAUUUGUGACACAAAGAGCAAACUCUCCAGGCUACAAGCCAAACUACACUCCUACAGGCCACAUCCAAUGCAUCAAACGGAUCGGCUUUUGAGUUUAUCAUCAAAUAAUCAACCUAUUCAUCAGUAAAUUAACGUUUAAGUUUGUUUUUAAUUUUGUUCACAAAUGAAAUCAACCAACUUUUCAUGCCCUUUUGAUAGGAAAUUAUACAGUAAUGUUGACCACAUUUUGUGUAUGUUUUUUUUUUCUUUCUUUUGAGAUGUACUAUUCAUUUAUAUCAUAGAUGAUGAGAAUUAAAGAAAUUAAAUCUUGCUUUGGAUGAAAAGCUCAUGUUGAUGACAGGUACUAUUGCUGAUAUCAAUUGUCCCUCAUUUGCUUUAAUGCUGCAGGUGGCCUUAAAAGGAAUCAAGUAUGCAGAAGAAUGGUAGGAUCUUCAUAUCAAAGGGUUUAUCUGUGUGACGAUUACACAACUACAAUUCGAUUAGUCGAGCAUUGGUCUUUUCAUCCUUGAGUUGUUCUCAGAGCAUCUGCUCUAUCAAUGCUUUCCUGCCUUCUAUUGAAAAAGGAUUUUCUGCCUAUGACACCAAGAAAGUGUGGGAAGAUUGUUGAUUAUCUCAUUGACACUGGCCUUCGUUGUCGGCACAAGUGGUGGAGGUCCCUUAUCACUUUAUUUAAGUAAUAUCUCUAUCUUUGCACACAUUUCACACUAAGUUGUUAAUGGGAUUGUUCCGUAACUAGAUAAUUGUUUCCCGGAAUCUGUAUUAAUGUCGUUGCCAUGCAUUGAGCUAUCUCAUGAAUCUUCUUAUGUUUUCAGUAAUUCUUUUGUGUUGCCAUGUGAUCGUUCAAACA